UUCCACACACAGCCAAAAUCAUCCAGGAUCUACUCUGUGAGAUUUAUUGAGGAAGUGAUACUAUUUGCAUCUUUGUGAUUGCCAAAUCAGCUACUUAUUUUGUGAGUUACAUAGUGUUUAUGGAUUAACAUCCGAAUCUGAAAUUAUCUUGAUUACAAGAUUUUGAUACCAUAUCCAGGUAGUUUACCAAAUCAUCGGCACAUGGUUGUCAACAUCCCAAAGGGAACCUUAAUUAAGUAAUAGCCCUCACAAGGGACCCUAUUAAGGAUUAAUUAUUACUUUUAAGGCAGUUUGUAUAAGCAUCAAUAUACUGCCAUUAUUCCUAAAAGGAACCUUUAAAGCCCCCAUUAGGAGCUCGAUAAAGUGAUCUAAUUGUUCUUACAUUUAAGAUUCUGGUUCCCCAUACCCGAACCUAUUUGAUGACAACUAAGCCAGUUUUUCAUUUUUUGUUACCCCUGAUGAAGUCGAUAAGACGAAAAUGCGUUGGGUUUGUCAGUCAGAAGUUUUCAACUUAUUUUGUGAAGAUACUCCCUCUCAAGC